AUAGUGUUCAUCACCUUCACACCCUCGCUAAUUUUCGCCGGCUGACCAAGACAGGUUACUCUUCAGGAUAUAAUCUCGUGGUGGUUUAUGCCCAUUAACAUUGGAAUUUCCUUCCUCGUUGGAGGGGUUAUUGGAUGAAUACUCGUAAAAGUUUUGAAGCCGAUGACUCACCUGGAGGGUCCGAUCAUUGCCGCUUGUUCAACAGGAAACUUGGGAAAUCUACCUCUCAUUAUAAUCCCGGCGGUCUGUGAGGAGGGCAGUAGCCCGCUUGGUGACUGGACUGCUUGCCGCUCCGUUGGACUCUCAUACGCAUCUUUCUCGAUGGCGCACCUUGGUGGUUUCUACAUCUGGACUUGCACUUACCAACUGAUCCGAACAUCGUCCACGAAGGAUAAAGCGCUUCAAGCAGCCAAGGAGGCCUCAAAGGCACCUAACAUCAACCCAAAUGCUGGUUCAGAAACACGUCUUCUCAAAGAAAAAGAUGGAGAACAACAAACUGUUGUUAGUGUGCAAUGAACAAAGGCUAGUGAAAAUGCAGAAACACAAGGAAUUUCACAUGGGAAUUCAGAUGAGACCGAUAC